rnacentral:rRNA from 1 species
CAGUAGCCACGGGAAUACGUAGGUGGCAAGCGUUGUCCGGAAUUAUUGGGCGUAAAGGACUCGCAGGCGGUUUCUUAAGUCUGAUGUGAAAGCCCCCGGCUCAACCGGGGAGGGUCAUCGGAAACUGGGAAACUUGAGUGCAGAAGAGGAGAGUGGAAUUCCACGUGUAGCGGUGAAAUGCGUAGAGAUGUGGAGGAACACCAGUGGCGAAGGCGACUCUCUGGUCUGUAACUGACGCUGAGGAGCGAAAGCGUGGGGAGCGAACAGGAUUAGAUACCCCCGUAGUCCCUGUCUCUUAUAA